rnacentral:snoRNA from 1 species
AAACCGUGAUGAGGACACUCUAAGAGAAGGUCUUUGAAACGUUCCAUAUAUCAAGAGAAUGAUCUAUUGGGUCUUUGGGGAAACUGGAGAAUCUCGUUCCUAAGUUU